AGAGUUUGAUCCUGGCUCAGGACGAACGCUGGCGGCGUGCUUAACACAUGCAAGUCGAACGGUGAAGGURGGAGCUUGCUCCUKCUGGAUCAGUGGCGAACGGGUGAGUAACACGUGAGUAACCUGCCCUUGACUCUGGGAUAAGCGUUGGAAACGACGUCUAAUACCGGAUACGAGCUUSAGACCGCAUGGYYAKSAGUUGGAAAGAUWUUUYGGUCAAGGAUGGACUCGCGGCCUAUCAGCUUGUUGGUGAGGUAAUGGCUCACCAAGGCGACGACGGGUAGCCGGCCUGAGAGGGUGACCGGCCACACUGGGACUGAGACACGGCCCAGACUCCUACGGGAGGCAGCAGUGGGGAAUAUUGCACAAUGGGCGCAAGCCUGAUGCAGCAAYGCCGCGUGAGGGAYGACGGCCUUCGGGUUGUAAACCUCUUUUAGYAGGGAAGAAGCGAAAGUGACGGUACCUGCAGAAAAAGCACCGGCUAACUACGUGCCAGCAGCCGCGGUAAUACGUAGGGUGCAAGCGUUGUCCGGAAUUAUUGGGCGUAAAGAGCUCGUAGGCGGUUUGUCGCGUCUGCUGUGAAAACKSGAGGCUCAACCUCSMGCCUGCAGUGGGUACGGGCAGACUAGAGUGCGGUAGGGGAGAUUGGAAUUCCUGGUGUAGCGGUGGAAUGCGCAGAUAUCAGGAGGAACACCGAUGGCGAAGGCAGAUCUCUGGGCCGUAACUGACGCUGAGGAGCGAAAGCGUGGGGAGCGAACAGGAUUAGAUACCCUGGUAGUCC
rnacentral:rRNA from 1 species